UUUUAGUGCUAAGGUAGCAUAAUCAUUCGUCUUUUAAUUGAAGACUAGAACAAAAGAUUAAACAUUUUAAUUAUUUUAUUUAAAAUAUUAAUUAAAAUUUUCUAAAAUGUAAAAAGACAUUUAAAAUAUAGAAAGACGACAAGACCCUAUUGAACUUAACUAUAGUUAAACUGGGGCAGUUUAAUAAUUAUUAUUUUAUUAAUCUUUAAUAACUAAAUAUCUAUUAUUAUUAAUAAAAAGUUACCAUAGGGAUAACAGCAUAAUAAAUAUUUAAAGAUCUUAUAUAAAUAUAAUAUUAUGACCUCGAUGUUGAAUUAAUAUCCUAUAUUAUGCAGUAACUAUAUAAGGAAGUCUGUUCGACUUUUUAAAAAUUACGUGAUCUGGUCA
rnacentral:rRNA from 1 species